rnacentral:rRNA from 1 species
UACGAAGGGGGCUAGCGUUGCUCGGAAUCACUGGGCGUAAAGCGCACGUAGGCGGAUUGUUAAGUCGGGGGUGAAAUCCUGGAGCUCAACUCCAGAACUGCCUUCGAUACUGGCGAUCUUGAGUCCGGGAGAGGUGAGUGGAACUCCGAGUGUAGAGGUGAAAUUCGUAGAUAUUCGGAAGAACACCAGUGGCGAAGGCGGCUCACUGGCCCGGUACUGACGCUGAGGUGCGAAAGCGUGGGGAGCGAGUCCGG